UACGUAGGGUCCGAGCGUUGUCCGGAGUGACUGGGCGUAAAGCGCGCGCAGGCGGCCCGCGAGGUGUCCUGUGAAAGCCCCGUGCUCAACGCGGGAGGGUCAGGGCAAACCGGCGGGCUUGAGGCCGGUAGAGGUGGGUGGAACUCCUGGUGGAGUGGUGGAAUGCGUAGAGAUCAGGAAGAACACCCGUGGCGAAGGCGGCCCACUGGGCCGGACCUGACGCUGAGGCGCGAAGGCGUGGGGAGCGAACGGG
rnacentral:rRNA from 1 species